rnacentral:rRNA from 1 species
UGAACGCUGGCGGCAGGCCUACCACAUGCAAGUCGAACGGUAACAGGAAGCAGCUUGCUGCUUCGCUGACGAGUGGCGGACGGGUGAGUAAUGUCUGGGAAACUGCCUGAUGGAGGGGGAUAACUACUGGAAACGGUAGCUAAUACCGCAUAACGUCGCAAGACCAAAGAGGGGGACCUUAGGGCCUCUUGCCAUCGGAUGUGCCCAGAUGGGAUUAGCUAGUAGGUGGGGUAACGGCUCACCUAGGCGACGAUCCCUAGCUGGUCUGAGAGGAUGACCAGCCACACUGGAACUGAGACACGGUCCAGACUCCUACGGGAGGCAGCAGUGGGGAAUAUUGCAAAAUGGGCGCAAGCCUGAUGCAGCCAUGCCGCGUGUAUGAAGAAGGCCUUCGGGUUGUAAAGUACUUUCAGCGGGGAGGAAGGGAGUAAAGUUAAUACCUUUGCUCAUUGACGUUACCCGCAGAAGAAACGCCGGCUAACUCCGU